rnacentral:rRNA from 1 species
UAGUCUCGCACAGAUGCAUAUCAAUAAGCGGAGGAAAAGAAACUAACAAGGAUUCCCCUAGUAACGGCGAGUGAAGCGGGAAGAGCUCAAAUUUGAAAUCUUAAAGGGUUUCCCUUUACGAAUUGUAGUUUAAAGAAGUGUUUUCUGUUGAGGUUUUGGUAAAAGUUCUUUGGAAUAGGACAUCAUAGAGGGUGAGAAUCCCGUAUUUGACCUUUACUUUCAACUUUGUGAUACACUUUCAAAGAGUCGGAUUGUUUGGGAAUGCAGUCCAAAAUGGGUGGUAAAUUUCAUCUAAAGCUAAAUAUUGGCGAGAGACCGAUAGCGAACAAGUACCGUGAGGGAAAGAUGAAAAGAACUUUGAAAAGAGAGUUAAACAGUACGUGAAAUUGUCAAAAGGGAAGCGUUUGACACCAGUGUUGUUUUUCUGAAAAUCAAUUAAAGAACUGUUUAUGCUAAGCUGUUUAGACUUUAUCAGCUAUACUGUUUAGUUUUGAGCUUUUCUUUAAUGCACUUUUCAGUUAACAAGUCAACAUCAAUUUCUUUUGCUGUAAAAAAGCUUGAGGAAGGUGGCUUGAGAUUCGUCUUAAGUGUUUAUAGCCUCUUGCCUAUGCAGUCGGAGAGAUUGAGGUCUGCAGCGUAGAUCCUUCGGGGCUAAAUGCAUUUGUGCUAAGUUAUAGCAUUUUAUAGACAACUUGUUGACUAUGAUUUGUCUUGUAGCUUACUCGCUUAUGUUAUUUUACCUACGCUUAGGAUGUUGAAGACUCUACAGAGAUA